AUUGAACGCUAGCGGGAUGCUUUACACAUGCAAGUCGAACGGCAGCGCGGACUUCGGUCUGGCGGCGAGUGGCGAACGGGUGAGUAAUGUAUCGGAACGUGCCCAGUAGCGGGGGAUAACUACGCGAAAGCGUAGCUAAUACCGCAUACGCCCUACGGGGGAAAGCAGGGGAUCGUAAGACCUUGCACUAUUGGAGCGGCCGAUAUCGGAUUAGCUAGUUGGUGAGGUAACGGCUCACCAAGGCGACGAUCCGUAGCUGGUUUGAGAGGACGACCAGCCACACUGGGGCUGAGACACGGCCCAGACUCCUACGGGAGGCAGCAGUGGGGAAUUUUGGACAAUGGGGGCAACCCUGAUCCAGCCAUCCCGCGUGUGCGAUGAAGGCCUUCGGGUUGUAAAGCACUUUUGGCAGGAAAGAAACGUCGCGGGCUAAUACCCCGUGGAACUGACGGUACCUGCAGAAUAAGCACCGGCUAACUACGUG
rnacentral:rRNA from 1 species